rnacentral:tRNA from 1 species
GCCUUCGAGGUGUAGUGGUCAGCACGCUCGACGCGUAACCGAGAGGUUGGUGGUUCGAUUCCCGGCGAAGGCG